ensembl:lncRNA
UCUUGUGGCAGAGAUGUUUAUAAACCUUCACCCAUCUGGAAGCCAUUAUCUCCAAAUAAAGUUUAUUUGAAGAAAUUGUAUUAAAUGAUUACAUGUUAUUUUUACCUCGGCUAGAAAGCAAACUGCUCUACCAUUGCUGAGAGGUUCUCUUUGGUCCAGACUUGUUUUAAUAUUUUAUCCAGACUAUCAGCAUCAGGGCAUGGCAGCUCAUUUGGCUGUUUUGCUAUAGCUGUCUGGUGGUCAGACAUAAUUUAUUAAGAGUUUGACUCUUUAUUUAGGUUUAUUUGUUACAGUUUCUCUUCUCCAUCUUCUGUUAGGUCUGUCCAUUGCCCGUCUAAGUUGUCUCUUUAUUUACUUUCUGCAUUUUGCAGCAAAAAUUCAAAAUACAUAUUGAAGUCCAGAAAGGAGAGAGAAGAAAGCAGAUAAAAAAUAUCCCAGACUGGUUGCCAAACCGUUGUCACUUGUGUUGUGUACAGGGAAAAAGCUGGACAAGACAGUUGCAGGGCUGACUCCACUCCUAGUACAAAGAAAAUUAAAAAGCCAUGAAGGGCUAAAGCAGAACAGUAACCAUCAGCAAAUGCACAGAGUGGCAAUCCAGAGGUGAACUUCAAGGAUCGUGCAAUCUUACUGCAGAUCUUCAAGCUACGGAUUGGGAGCCAAGCGAAAAGCAAGCCAGAUGACUUCAGCCCAGAACGCCCUGCAAAAAGGAACCCUUGUGAAGUGCCUCUGAUCCGCAGUUCCCACACAGCACCACAGUUUGAUCCUCUCUUAUUCAUCCACCCCAGCCACAGGAGGGUCCUCAGUUGGGAAGAUGUACCAUCACAUGAGCACAAAAUACAAUACCCCAUCUCUACCCACCAACACAUACUGGAAAUGAAGAUGAGCCACUGAGGCUUUGGUGUUGCAUGGCAAAGCCAAGUAACUGAGGUAGCAACUCUUCCACCUUGGACAGAAGAGCAGCAGUUAUCCCAAGGUAGCAUCCACCUGCCUGUCUAACUCCUAUGCCUGAGCUGGACUACAGGAUAUGAAUCCCACUCCUGCUCUGCUUUCUGUCUUCUUCCCAUGCAAAACGUACGCACACUGCAUCCGUUCAAAGACGUGAGCAGCAAGGAAGACCCGUCCACACUUCUCUCAGCAUCCCUGGAAAGGCCAUGCACAUUAGGAGGAAACCUAUAGAGUCACAGAGCCACAGAAUCGUUUAGAUUGGAAGGGAUCUCUAAAGGCCAUCUGGUCCAAC